AUGGCUCCUCCUCCGCGGUCACACGUUGGAGACCGCCACGCUCUUCUCCCUCUCAGACCGCUGCGCCACCACCGUGAGCGCCCCCAAACCCGCUCUGUGUCACCACGUCGUCCUUGGCUCCUCCUCCGACGGCUGGCUCGUCACCGCCGACGACCAGGCCAAGAUGCGCAUUGUCAACCCGGUCACUGGCGAGCAGCGCGUGCUCCCGGCCAUCACCACCAUUACUUGCCUCUUCGAGCAACAUGGACACUUCAUGCUCGACCUAAAGCGCUUCGGCAGAGCACAACCGCACCGCGUCUAAGACAACCACCCGUCCGACUGGAAGCAUAG
rnacentral:rRNA from 1 species